rnacentral:rRNA from 1 species
AUACGCUACGCAUGCUUACACACCUGCAGGUUCAACGGCAGCGGGGGAGCUUGCUCCCGCCGGCGAGUGGCGAACGGGUGAGUAAUACAUCGGAACGUACCCAGUAGCGGGGGAUAGCCCGGCGAAAGCCGGAUUAAUACCGCAUACGCCCCACGGGGGAAAGGGGGGGAUCUUCGGACCUCUCACUAUUGGAGCGGCCGAUGGCUGAUUAGCUAGUUGGUGGGGUAAAGGCCUACCAAGGCGACGAUCAGUAGCUGGUCUGAGAGGACGACCAGCCACACUGGGACUGAGACACGGCCCAGACUCCUACGGGAGGCAGCAGUGGGGAAUUUUGGACAAUGGGCGAAAGCCUGAUCCAGCAAUGCCGCGUGUGCGAAGAAGGCCUUCGGGUUGUAAAGCACUUUUGUCAGGGAAGAAAUCGUUUGGGUUAAUACCCCGAGCAGUUGACGGUACCUGAAGAAUAAGCACCGGCUAACCACGUGCCAGCAGCCGCGGUAAUACGUAGGGUGCAAGCGUUAAUCGGAAUUACUGGGCGUAAAGCGUGCGCAGGUGGUUUGUUAAGACAGUUGUGAAAUCCCCGGGCUUAACCUGGGAACUGCAAUUGUGACUGGCAGACUAGAGUGAGGCAGAGGGGGGCGGAAUUCCUGGUGUAGCAGUGAAAUGCGUAGAUAUCAGGAGGAACACCGAUGGCGAAGGCAGCCCCCUGGGCCAUCACUGACACUCAUGCACGAAAGCGUGGGGAGCAAACAGGAUUAGAUACCCUG